GGGAGGCAGAGGGGAUGGGGGGGGCAGAAAGAUACUAGUAGAGAGAGAGAGAGUCAGGGAGGCAGAGGGGAUGGGGGGCAGAAAGAUACUAGUAGAGAGAGAGAGAGAGUCAGGGAGGCAGAGGGGAGGCAGAUACUAGGAUGGGGGGCAGAGGGGAUGGGGGCAGAAAGAUACUAGUAGAGAGAGAGAGAGUCAGGGAGGCAGAGGGGAUGGGGGCAGAAAGAUACUAGUAGAGAGAGAGAGAGAGAGUCAGGGAGGCAGAGGGGAUGGGGGGAGGGGAUGGGGGCAGAAAGAUACUAGUAGAGAGAGAGAGAGAGAGUCAGGGAGGCAGAGGGGAUGGGGGGGGGAUGGGGGCAGAAAGAUACUAGUAGAGAGAGAGAGAGAGAGUCAGGGAGGCAGAGGGGAUGGAGGGGGCAGAAAGAUACUAGUAGAGAGAGAGAGAGAGAGUCAGGGAGACAGGGAGGAGAUUUGCUGGGAGGAAGGAAGGUAGAGUAGGCGUGUUCUUUGUGAUCCGUGCUCAUAAAGCCUGGUCUCAUCUGCUGAGGCUAGUGGAGUGGAUUUCUGUGUUGAUGAGAGAGACAGCGGAGAGAUGAUCCGACUGAACACCCCCCUGACACACACACCGCUCUGCUUCUCAACUACGGAUACUAACUGCAUCUGAGGGUCACACACAACCGGACAGCCAAGAGUUCAUCAGAUCGGUUCAGACAGAAACCCACCAGGAGCCGCCAGAGUGUGUUCAGUCUGCAUGUCAUAAGGAGUGUGUGAUGCUGGUAGGGUCUGUCUAUGUCUGUGAUGCUGGUAGGGUCUGUCUAUGUGUGUGAUGCUGGUAGGGUCUGUCAAUGUGUGUGAUGCUGGUAGGGUCUGUCUAUGUCUGUGAUGCUGGUAAGGUCUGUCUAUGUGUGUGAUGCUGGUAGGGUCUGUCUAUGUGUGUGAUGCUGGUAGGGUCUGUCUAUGUGUGUGAUGCUGGUAGGGUCUGUCUAUGUGUGGGUGAUGUUGGUAAGGUCUGUCCAUGUGUGGGUGAUGAUGGUAGGGUCUGUCGAUGUGUGUGAUGCUGGUAGGGUCUGUCCAUGUGUGUGAUGCUGGUAGGGUCUGUCUAUGUGUGUGAUGCUGGUAGGGUCUGUCUAUGUGUGGGUGAUGCUGGUAGGGUCUGUCCAUGUGUGUGAUGCUGGUAGGGUCUGUCCAUGUGUGUGCAGAUGAGUGUAAAGCUGGCUCCUGGGUUGGAGUAUAGCAUUGUUUGGACAGGGGCCUUGGGUCUUUCUGGCUACCCAGGGGAGGGAACACUGGCCUGGGCAUCCACAGGCCUCGCUACCCCCUGUCACCGCCCUGGCCCUGGAGGACUCCUU
ensembl:lncRNA